AGGCUGGAUAAAUAAUAACUAUAAUAAAAUCUAAAUAUAAUUAAAAUGAAGAUCAGAUCAUAUAUAUAUAUAUAUAUAUGUCAGCACCUGUCUCCACCACUAGUCCGCCGCACUCAAUAAAUCAGCCCGACAGCCGUGAACGCAGCAGGACGCGAGGGGGUGCUUGAUGAUGUCACCGGUGGUAUAAAAUGCUCAGCUGCACCUCGUCCCCUCAUUCGUCUUCCCUCCAUCUGCAGGAGCUCAUCAGGACUGUGCCCAAACUCUACACGCCAACAUGAAUAAGCUGUGCAUCGCUUACGUCGGUCUUCUCCUGCUGGCUCUCCACCUGUCAUCGCAGCUGAUCCACGCUGAGACGGCCACCAAUACUACUAAUGCUACCCAAACUACUGGCCAAAGUAACGGCUCCGAGAGGAUGGACUUGCUGCCGCUGCUGCUGCCGCUGGCUCUGUCUGCGUGUCUCCUCCACAGCUGGUCCUAAGAAGAGGCCCGUGUCUGCGCUAUGGACACACCGCCACCACAUCAAAACUGGGGAGGGAGGGGAUGAAUAAAACCUAGCCUAUCCCUAGAGCAGUUCAUAUGAACCUCUUUAAACCCCGAUUUGGAUGUGGAGCGUCUCCGUUUGACGCACCAACCCAAGAGACGUCCUUCUGCUUUUUGUUUCCUGAUGUCCUAUUCUUUGCGGGGCCCCCGUGGACUGUGAAAAUUGCAUUUGUCUGGAACGGAAAAAACCUGUAUGUCCUAGCCGUUUGGAGUGGGGGAAAAAAAUGUAUUUGUCGGAUAACAUGUCAAUGUUUUUCUAUUCUGGAGGGGGGAGAUGAUGUGAUUGAGUCCACGUUUCAUAAGCAUAAGAGUACUUGUAAAGUUUAUACAACAGCUGGGAUAUGACCUUGUGCUUUUAUAAUUGGUAUUUUUGUAAUUUCAAUAAAGCUUUAAAUGACAA